AACGAACGCUGGCGGCAUGCCUAACACAUGCCAGUCGAACGAGACCUUCGGGUCUAGUGGCGCACGGGUGCGUAACGCGUGGGAACCUGCCCUUAGGUUCGGAAUAACUCCCCGAAAGGGGUGCUAAUACCGGAUAAUGUCUUCGGACCAAAGAUUUAUCGCCUUUGGAUGGGCCCGCGUUGGAUUAGCUAGUUGGUAGGGUAAAAGCCUACCAAGGCGACGAUCCAUAGCUGGUCUGAGAGGAUGAUCAGCCACACUGGGACUGAGACACGGCCCAGACUACUACGGGAGGCAGCAGUGGGGAAUAUUGGAAAAUGGGCGAAAGCCAGAACCAGCAAGGCCGCGUGAGUGAUGAAGGCCUUAGGGUUGUAAAGCUAUUUUACCCGGGAUGAUAAUGACAGUACCGGGAGAAUAAGCACCGGCUAACUCCGUG
rnacentral:rRNA from 1 species